CUUCUUUUUCCUUGGUUAUGUCGCCACGUGCAGACGAGUUUCUUAAAUUUUCAUUCUACUUUGGAAAAUUGAACAGAAUGGGAUAAAAACUAAUCCUGAUCACUCCUCAUGGAGUUAUCCAUAUUUUGAGACUUCUUAAGACAUAAAAGGAACAAAAAACCUUCAAGCGGCCAGACAUGUGGUUUUGUAGUCUGUUGACCGACCCAUAGAUUAUUUGCUGGGCAAAAUGAGGUUAUGUCUGCAAUGUGUGUUCCUUGGAAAACAUAAAGUUUCCACCAAGGCGAACUGAAUGGAACUACUAUUGGCGCAAAAAAAAAAACUAAACCUAGACUGAAGAGGUUUUAUUUUUAUUUAA